rnacentral:rRNA from 1 species
UACGUAGGGGCAAGCGUUGUCCGGAAUCAUUGGGCGUAAGCGCGUGUAGGCGGCUUGGUAAGUCCGCUCUGAAAGCCCGGGGCUCAACCCCGGGAGGCGGGUGGAUACUGUCAAGCUCGAGUCCGGAAGAGGCGAGUGGAAUUCCUGGUGUAGCGGUGAAAUGCGUAGAUAUCAGGAGGAACACCGGUGGUGUAGACGGCUUUCUGGACCGUAACUGACGCUGAGACACGAAAGCGUGGGUAGCAAACAGG